rnacentral:rRNA from 1 species
AAAGUUGUUGCAGUUAAAAAGCUCGUAGUUGGAUUUCUGGGGCGUCGGAUGGGCCCUCGCCUCACGGCGUGUGUGUCCCGACUCUGAAUGCCCCAUCCUCGGGUGGGUCCCUCUUGGCAUUAGGUUGUUGGGAGGGGGAAGCCCGUCGUUUACUGUGAAAAAAUUAGAGUGUUCAAAGCAGGCUUAGGCCGUUGGAUACAUUAGCAUGGAAUAAUGAGAUAGGGCCUUGAUGUUUUAUUUGUUGGUUUGCACGCCAAGGUAAUGAUUAAUAGGGAUAGUUGGGGGUAUUCGUAUUCAAUUGUCAGAGGUGAAAUUCUUGGAUUUAUGGAGACGAACUACU